AAUCAACGCUGGCGGCGUGCCUAACACAUGCAAGUCGAGCGAGAAAGGGGACUUCGGUCCCUGAGUAGAGCGGCGGACGGGUGAGUAACACGUGGGUAAUCUACCCUCGGGUGGGGAAUAACUCAGGGAAACCUGGGCUAAUUCCGCAUGACAUUCCGGUGCUUACGUACUGGUAAUCAAAGCUGGGGACCCUUCGGGGCCUGGCGCCUGAGGAGGAGCCCGCGGCCAAUUAGCUUGAUGGUGAGGUAAUGGCUCACCAUGGCUACGAUUGGUAGCCGGCCUGAGAGGGCGGACGGUCACACUGGGACUGAGACACGGCCCAGACUCCUACGGGAGGCAGCAGUGGGGAAUUUUUGUCAAUGGGGGAAACCCUGAACAAGCAACGCCGCGUGAAGGACGAAGACCUUCGGGUUGUAAACUUCUGUCGGAGGGGACGAAGGCAUCAUUGGUUAAUACCCAGUGGUGUUGACGGUA
rnacentral:rRNA from 1 species